rnacentral:misc_RNA from 1 species
CGCACAUUGCGCCCUUUGGUAUUCCGAAGGGCAUACCCGUUCGAGCGUCAUUACACCACUCAAGCCCGGCUUGGUAUUGGGCGGCGAGGUCUUCUCGCGCCCCAACUUCUCUGGCGGGAUCGACUCCUGAUUGCAAGCGUUGUAGCAAUGCAACACUGGAGUUUCGGUCUGCGCCGUUAAAAACAGAACUAGGUUGACCUCGGAUCGGGUAGGGAUACCCGCUGAACUUAA